UUAAAUUGAAGAGUUUGAUCAUGGCUCAGAUUGAACGCUGGCGGCAGGCUUAACACAUGCAAGUCGAACGGUAACAGGAAGCAGCUUGCUGCUUUGCUGACGAGUGGCGGACGGGUGAGUAAUGUCUGGGAAACUGCCUGAUGGAGGGGGAU
rnacentral:rRNA from 1 species